ensembl:lncRNA
AGGCUGUGUGGUCACUUCAUAAAGGCCAUGUCUAAACCUGGACACUAAAGGACAAGAACAAAGAGUGGUAUCCAGAAACUACAUGUACUGGUACUAUGCACUGUGGAAGGGAGAAAAUCAAAUAGAGAAGAAUCUGAACUUUAAAAAGAUGCAGAAGUGCUGGAAGCAGGCAGCUCCUCUGACAGCUCUGUGGUCCCAGCUUCCAGUUUGAUUCAUGGCCGGCGCUGAGACACAGGAAGUUCGUGUCUGCUGUAAUCUAAACACCAUGAAAACGGAACAGAAGAAACAGUGCAGAAAGACACAGUAAUCUGGAUUGUCCCUCAAUUCAACAGCAAUAAAAUCUGGACUUAGUGUUUAGCUGGAAAUUAAGACAGUGUUCACUGCUCCAGAAACAGCCACUGGGGGAAAGGGACUAUUUAAGCAACAACAACCGGAAGGUAUAUUUAGCUGUCCAUACUCCUCAUUGAAGAGGAAACCACCCUCUACUGUUAUUAUUACACUGUGCAAACAAAGAAAAGGGGACAAAAUCUUGUCUUUAAUCCAAAGCAAGAAUUUACCAAAGGGAAGAGGAGAGGAAUCCAGAGCAACAAGUCUGAUCCUUAAAGCAUCUCUUUUUAGCAAGAAGUUGACCAAAAUAUUAUAUAAGACACAAGCUACACGACCAAGACCUCUGAGAUCUGGAAGAGAGUCCAGGUAGACCAGAAGGUGUUUCCAUGACUCACUGCCUGGAGCAGCACUCUUUUUUUUCAUACAAUUUUUUAAAUUGGAAUAUAAUGCUUUACUUUGUUGUGUUGAGCAUCACAGCAGCUCCCACCUUUUCAUAAUAAAAGAAUCACAC